AUUGAACGCUGGCGGCAGGCCUAACACAUGCAAGUCGAGCGAGAGGCGGACGGGUGAGUAAUGUAUGGGGACUGCCCGAUCGAGGGGGAUAACUACUGGAAACGGUGGCUAAUACCGCAUACUAUCGGAUAACCCAUAUGGGAUUAGCUAGUAGGUGGGGUAAAGGAUCACCUAGGCGACGCUCUCUAGCUGGUCUGAGCGGAUGAUCAGCCACACUGGGACUGAGACACGGCCCAGAAGCCUACGGAGGCAGCAGUGGGGAAUAUUGCACAAUGGGCGAAAGCCUGAUGCAGCCAUGCAGCGUGUAUGAAGAAGGCCUUAGGGUUGUAAAGUACUUUUAGCGGGGAGGCGUUACCCGCAGAAGAAGCACCGGCUAACUCCGUGCCAGCCGCAGAGGUAAUGC
rnacentral:rRNA from 1 species